rnacentral:lncRNA from 11 species
CCGUUCCUGAGCUCCCAACCCUCCCAACUGUUGAAUGCAGAUAAUUGGCAUUCACGAGAGAAGCAGGUGCAGUGCAUUCCACAUAUUGCUCUAUUUAAAGCUUCGGAAAGCUCAGCGAUACAGCCACAGACUCAAAUAUUAAAUCUGUAUUGUUUAGACACACAACAGAGGAAUGGCACAAACAGUGACAGUUCCAUAUUCCCAGUAUCUUGUACCCCUUCUUCUUUUGAUUGCCUGGAUUGUAGGUUGUGUCCUGACGGUUUAUUUUGUCUUUUCAUAAAAGAGGGAAUGAACCUUUUGGAAAACUCUUGGAACUGAAUGAAGAUGCCCAUUUCUUAUUUUGAAACCACACCAUGAAAAUUAUAAUCCAAGAACAUUACAAUGAAGUUUCAAUAGAUGUAUUUCUCCGUUAAAAAUGACUCAACAACAAAAACAGUUUUGAGAUUUUGAAUGGAAUUUUCAUGAUAGAAAAAACGUUUGCACAUCACCUUUUUAUUUUGGCACCCAACCCCUGCCCUCCCAAAAUUUCUGUGUCUUACCUUUUUAAUGACAAUCUGAAAAUGUCACUCUGGUUAGUGGUAUAAAUUGAUUCUUGUGUUAAUUUUCAUUUGGUGAAUGAAAGUUAUUUUUCCCUGCACUAUGCCUCUAAGCAACAAGUCGCCUCAUUAAUGUUCAUUUUAUUACACAAAAUUUAGAAAUAAUGACCCGAAUUCCUAUAAAAGUCCUCUCAAAUAAUUGCUUACUACAUAAUUUUAAAUAUAUUUUAAUAUUAUUUAUUACUCUUCCGUGCACAUAUCUAAAAAUGUAUAAUAAAAUGCAUAUAUACACAUACAUUUAAAAUGCAUUCAUUGUACAUAGUCUAAUACUAAUCCCUGUUGGAGUGAAUUUCAAGAUGGAAAUCAGAGAAUCACAAUGAGGGCAUGUUUUGUUCAUUUAAACAUCUCUAGUUUUGAGUGGAUAGAGAUUUCAGGCCCUUAUACUCCAUUUUAAGACUGUUACAGAAAACUGUCUUUUGACCUUUUUCAUCCUCCUUUGCUUAUUCUCUUCUCCAGGUUUUGUUUAGUUUUUGAUUUGCAUAACCACCAACAAAGUAAUAUAUUCUGGAGAAGCCACACUUGUUCACAACUUUAUUAUGCUAUAAUUGGUAUAAACAUUUUGUUUCGAUUUUGUUUCCCCACUAAUGGACCACAAUGGCUUCCUACAGUUUAUGUGAGUUAUGGGGAUCCAUCUAUGAUACACAAAAGCUGACAGUCUGAGCUCUGCGAGUGCAGCAUUUUUAAAAAUGAAGCAGAGAGUGUUUGAGGAUCAAGACAUCCAUAGGGAUACCAAGAUGCUUGUUUAUAAAGCUAUUGUCUUUCCAACUCUAUUGUACACCUGUAAAACACGGACUGUCUACAAACAUCACUUCUGAAAAGACUCCAUCAGCGACUCUCUUGGGAAAACAAGCAGACAAAUGUCAACAUUCUGGAAGAAGCGAAGACUACCAGCACUGAUGUAAUGCUCCUCCGCCAUUAGCUUUGCUGGACUGGCCAUGUUAUCUGAAUGCCCGAUCACUGUCUCCCAAAGCAGUUACUUUACCCUCAGCUCAAGAGUGGUGGACAGUGGAAGAUAUUUAAAGAUAGGCUUAAAACUAACUUUUAAAAAUGUGGUAUGAAAACCAAUAACUGAGAAGCCCUGGUACUUGAGCUCUCUAACUGGAGGUUAGACCAUGCGGAUCCAGGAUAGGUCUCUCCAGUUACUUAAGGAUCCACUGCUAAGCUUCUACUUCUGGAAGACAAUCAUACUCAGCCACUAGAGGUUGCUGCUGCUGCUGCUGCUGACUCCAGAGUUUUUUUCCUAAAAUCUAAUGGGAUGUUUUGAAAGCAAGAAUUCAAUACAAAAUAUUCGGCAGCUCAAGCAUAUAUUCUACAAUUAUGGCUUCCAGACAGAAAACUGACAGUGACCCAUGUACCUUUCAUGGCUGUGUACAGGAUGGAAUUUCAGCAAAUGUUGAAUAUCAUGCAACCAGGUAACAAGCAAUGUCUGCUGAAAAUUCCUGUUUUCCAUAUUUAUGAAAGGUACAGAAAUUUUCACUCUAGCAACCCAACCUUUUCUCUUGCUCUAUAAGAAGCUUGUUUAGGAUGAAUGCUUCACUCCAAUAUUAUCAAUGCUAUAUAAUCUGUGAUGUCCAUCCCAGCAUUCCAGACUACAUGCCCUUUUAUUAAUAUAUUCUAUCACACCAGUUUAUUUCAAUGUAAGUUAUGAUUUCAGUGAAAAAAAAUGUAAACCAAACUGUCUCAAACCUACAACUGUGUCUAUUUUUGGACUGUGUUUAAUAAAACCUGAAAGCAAUUGAGACUUCAUUGCAAUUAUAUGACUUUUUAGUAAUCUCCUUUAUCAUAUUUGCCACCACAUGGUGGGGCUAUAUGUUUCUGAAAUGACAUUUUAAAGUAGCACAUUUCGUACAUAACCUGUAGAUGGCAUUGCCUUUGCAUGGGUACAGAUGCUGUUUUCACAACAACAUUGACAAAAUGUGACAAAAUGUUUCAUUUCUAAAUCUGAAUUGAAAGUAGAGGACUUAAUUAAAAUUCUUGGAACCUGAAUUAGAAGUGUUAUUCUAAUAUUUUACUGUUAUGAAAUAGGUUUGUGUUCCCUAAAGUCCUGUUUAUUGCACAGAAAAUUUCACAGAGAUUCAGAAAAAAGAUGUAACCCAA